GCUCGUAGUUGGAUUUCGGGUGGGUUCUAGCGGUCCGCCUAUGGUGAGUACUGCUAUGGCCCUCCUUUCUGCCGGGGACGGUCUCCUGGGCUUCACUGUCCGGGAACUGGAGUCGGCGUUGUUACUUUGAGUAAAUUAGAGUGUUCAAAGCAGGCAUACGCCCUGAAUACUUUAGCAUGGAAUAACACGAUAGGACUCUGGCCUAUCUUGUUGGUCUGUAGGACCGGAGUAAUGAUUAAGAGGGACAGUCGGGGGCAUUCGUAUUUCAUUGUCAGARGUGAAAUUCUUGGAUUUAUGAAAGACGAACUACUGCGAAAGCAUUUGCCAAGGAUGUUUUCAUUAAUCAAGAACGAAAGUUGGGGGCUCGAAGACGAUUAGAUACCGUCGUAGUCUCAACCAUAAACGAUGCCGACUAGGGAUUGGCGGAUGUUUUUUUGAUGACUCCGCCAGCACCUUAUGAGAAAUCAAAGUUUUUGGGUUCCGGGGGGAGUAUGGUCGCAAGGCUGAAACUUAAAGGAAUUGACGGAAGGGCACCACCAGGCGUUGAGUAUUGGCUCUAGCGCCUAAAGUCUCCCUGAAAGGGGAGGCUAGUCGGUAGUGGCUCGCUAAUGGUGAGAGCCGCUACACGGCUACACUGUCGAAUUGCGGGAAGUUCCUUAGAGCUCAAGCUACCAAGCUAGGGUGGAAACACACCUAGUGGCCAGGGUAAUGACCUCGGGUACGGUAAAAACGCUUGAGAUUGGAUAACCCG
rnacentral:rRNA from 1 species